GAGAGACAAGGAUAAAGAAAAACAAAAGAAGGAGAGACAGUUGAGCAACAGAGUCAGGGAUGACUGACCUGUGCCAGAGGAGAGAGGAGCAAAGGAAUACAAUAAUCGAGAUAUGAGCGUGUUAAAGGUGACAGGAAUUUACUUUUACUGUGUGUUACUGGGGAGCUCAUUAGCUAGCGGAUCAAAGGCAGAAGGGGAUGAAACAGGCUGGUCAAGUGACAAGGACAAUCUAUUCCACUAGAAAACCAGCCAGCGAAGGUCAUCGAAGGAGGACCCUUUGUGGAUCAGGACCAGGACACACUGCUGCGCCGUCCUAUGAAACAGACCCCCUGCACCAAGAGAACAUUUUUUCUCCUAAAACGCCUGCAAACCUGAAAAGUAUGGAUUAGAAGAAGACAGCAAAUGACAACAAGAGAGCAAAUGACUAGAACACUAGAAAAGGAAAUCAA
ensembl:lncRNA